rnacentral:lncRNA from 1 species
UUCUUUUUCAAUUUGAAUCCCUUCCCCACUAGAUCUAAAAUCCAUCAUUUAGGACCUGAAAUCACACUUGAUAAAGCCUCCAAAAAAUAAAAAUAAGACCUGGAACUUUUCUUGGGCGGCCAAGAGGGGGCGCUAAAAAUAGGGGCGUGCACAAAGGGGGGCGUUGGUUUCUAGCACCUCCUUUCUUUUCUUUUUGGGGUGGUGGCCAAGAAACCUUAGAUUUCUUGGUUCUAGGGCAUGGAGAAGAUCAGAGAG